UGAUGAUGUUGGCGUACGGGUUGUUUUCGCCGCUUUCGACCGCGAUCGGAUCUUUGGUCGGGUUCAGCCCGGCGUCGAUGGC
rnacentral:tRNA from 2 species